rnacentral:piRNA from 1 species
GAAUCUGUCUGUAAGUGAGCUUAGGAAUA